rnacentral:rRNA from 1 species
AUUGAACGCUGGCGGCAGGCUUAACACAUGCAAGUCGAGCGGGGUGAUGGUGCUUGCACUAUCACUUAGCGGCGGACGGGUGAGUAAUGCUUAGGAAUCUGCCCAUUAGUGGGGGACAACAUCUCGAAAGGGAUGCUAAUACCGCAUACGUCCUCCGGGAGAAAGCAGGGGAUCACUUGUGACCGUGCACUAAUAAAUGAGCCUAAGUCAGAUUCGAUAGUUGGUGGGGUAAAGGCCUACCAGAGCGACGAUCUGUAGCGGGUCUGAGAGGAUGAUCCGCCACACUGGGACUGAGACACGGCCCAGACUCCUACGGGAGCCAGCAGGGGGGAAUAUUGGACAAUGGGGGGAACCCUGAUCCAGCCAUGCCGCGUGUGUGAAGAAGGCCUUAUGGUUGUAAAGCACUUUAAGCGAGGAGGAGGCUCUUUUGGUUAAUACCCAAGAUGAGUGUACGUUACUCGCAGAAUAAGCACCGGCUAACUCUGUUCCAGCAGCCGCGGUAA